rnacentral:lncRNA from 1 species
CCCCUCCCCAGUGGCUAACCUCACCUCAUUCUUCCAAAAGCGACCUACUAUCCUAACUUUAACAGAUUAGUAUUGCCUGUUUUUGAACUUUAUAUAAAUGGAACCUGUGUAGUAUAUAUACAGUUGCCCCUUGGUGUACCUGGGGGAUUGGUUCUAGGAUCCACCCUCCCAACAGGAAAAUCAUGUGUACUCAAGUCCUGAAGUUGGCCCUGCAGAACCCAUGUAUAGGAAAAGUUGGCCCUCUGUAUAUGUGGGUUUCACGUCCUGCAAAUACCAUAUUUUUGAUCUGCAUUUGGUUGAAAAAAAAAUAUGCGUAUAAGUGGACCUGCACAGUUCAAACCAGUCAACUGUAUUCUGUUUCUGUAUAUGUAUUCUGUUGUUUCUGCCUUUUUUUCUGUUUCGUU